rnacentral:rRNA from 1 species
UACGGGGGGGGCAAGCGUUGUUCGGAAUUACUGGGCGUAAAGGGCUCGUAGGUGGCCAACUAAGUCAGACGUGAGAUCCCUCGGCUUAACCGGGGAACUGCGUCUGAUACUGGAUGGCUUGAGUUCGGGAGAGGGAUGCGGAAUUCCAGGUGUAGCGGUGAAAUGCGUAGAUAUCUGGAGGAACACCGGUGGCGAAGGCGGCAUCCUGGACCGACACUGACGCUGAGGAGCGAAAGCCAGGGGAGCAAACGGG